UGUUGAAUUCUUGACAAAUCCACAAAAAUUUACUGUGCUUGGAGGUAAACUUCCAAAAGGAAUACUUUUAGUUGGACCACCAGGGACAGGAAAGACGCUUCUUGCUCGAGCUGUGGCUGGAGAAGCUGAUGUUCCUUUUUAUUAUGCUUCUGGAUCAGAAUUUGAUGAAAUGUUUGUGAGUUUGGGAGCCAGCCGUAUCAGAAAUCUAUUUAGGGAAGCAAAAGCAAAUGCUCCCUGUGUUAUAUUUAUUGAUGAAUUAGAUUCUGUUGGUGGGAAGCGAAUUGAGUCUCCAAUGCAUCCAUAUUCAAGGCAGACUAUAAAUCAGCUUCUUGCUGAAAUGGAUGG